CGGAGCCGGCGACUGGACGCGAGCAAGGGGCGAAUGGAGAGCGUCUCCCCUGCGCCAAUGCUGUUGUUCCGGGUGCUGAAAAGCCGGGAACUUCCCGGAAAGCAGCGGCACUUUUCUCCCUGGAAGACGAGGUUUCACCGUGUCAGCCAGGAUGGUCUCGAUCUCCUGACCUCGUGAUCCACCCGCCUCGGCCUCCCAAAGUGCUGGGAUUACAGGCGUGAGCCACAGCACCCAGCCUUAAUAGUGAAUCUUAUACCCAGCAGCUGUGAAUAAGCUCUCUGAUGCCCUGAAGAGUCCCUUGUGAGGUGGUAACCAAUGGUGCUUCCAGAUGCCCAGUUUGGGAGGUUGGUUCGUGGUGGCACCAUGGUGGAGAAAAAACAUUCAUUCCUGGUUUUUCCCAACUGUGGAUAUGAUCAUAAGGGAGAUCAUCUCUAGCGGCGGGGACUCUUGCCUCCAGCCCUCUGGGACUUGCCUCUGGAUCACCAUUUGUUCAGGAAAGAGCCCAGCAGCCAGAAUGAUGUAUUUUGGGCUCGGAUUGCCUUCUAUGUGGAGUGAGGAGACAGAUGGGCUU
ensembl:lncRNA novel transcript